UAUAAGUAUAAGCAUAUAAAAUAAAAACAACAAAAAUUUCCAUACAAAACUAAAUUUGGAACAACAAACAAAUUGAUGUGACCACUCACUGCGUGGCUUAAAAAUAAACACGAAUCCAACUAAUUUUUCGAAUGCAGCUAAUAGUAAUAUGAGCAAUAAAAUGCGAGUGCUGUAUUGAAAACAUAUUGCCAUUAAAGCGAAGAAUGCCAAGAAGCACGUUAUUUACAGCAAAAAAUGUAAAUAGAUUACACAAUCAUA